UACGUAGGGCGCGAGCGUUGUCCGGAAUUAUUGGGCGUAAAGAGCUCGUAGGCGGUUUGUUGCGUCGGAUGUGAAAACUCGAGGCUCAACCUCGAGACGCCGGUGGAAACCAUCAGACUAGAGUCCGGAAGAGGAGAGUGGAAUUCCUGGUGUAGCGGUGAAAUGCGCAGAUAUCAGGAAGAACACCCGUGGCUAAGGCGGCUCUCUAGUACGGUACUGACGCUGAGACGCGAAAGCGUGGGGAGCGAACAGG
rnacentral:rRNA from 1 species